GAUGAAGAACGUAGCGAAAUGCGAUACUUGGUGUGAAUUGCAGAAUCCCGUGAACCAUCGAGUCUUUGAACGCAAGUUGCGCCCGAAGCCAUUAGGCCGAGGGCACGCCUGCCUGGGCGUCACACGUCGUUGCCCCCGCAUCUACUCCUUCGGGAUUGCGGGGGGCGGAUGAUGGCCUCCCGUGCGCCUCGUCGCGCGGUUGGCAUAAAUGCCAAGUCCUCGGCGACGCACGCCACGACAAUCGGUGGUUGCGAAACCUCGGUUGCCCGUCGUGUGCGGUCGUCGCGCAUCGAGGGCUCGAAAAAAUUGCCGGGCUCCGGCUCGGCUUUCAACGCGACCCCAGGUCAGGCGGGGUUACCCGCUGAAUUUAAGCAUAUCAAUAAGCGGAGGA
rnacentral:misc_RNA from 1 species